GAGUAUGCCAGAUUCGCCACAAAUAUAGAGAGUCCAUUGUUCACACAGAUAGUCUCCCCUAUAUUUGCAAGGCGUCGCACAAAUACAAGAUAUAUAACAGGAUACAACCACCAUAACUGAAUAUACAAAUAUUCAUCCAUUCAUACAUUCACACACCAUUCACAUUUAGAGUUUACAAGUAUAAAUCCACAACUAUUAGUUUAAAAUGUUUCCUACCGGAAACUAGUUUUGAAAUACUAAAUCAUGAAAAACUACAAGAAAACCUUUUGAAAGCUAUUUCCCAUACGAAAAUCUUUUUUUUUUAAAAAAACACGCUACCACGAGGGGUAGAAGACCAUUUUUAUUUCACGAAAACUCACAAAUCCUUUACUACAUGCAUGAAAUCCCAAAUUCAAAUGUAAUAAAAUGCUGAACCAUAUAAACUGUCUAAUUCAAUUAUUUAA
rnacentral:lncRNA from 1 species